UACGUAGGGUGCAAGCGUUGUCCGGAAUUAUUGGGCGUAAAGAGCUUGUAGGCGGUUUGUCGCGUCUGCUGUGAAAUUUCGGGGCUCAACCCCGAACUUGCAGUGGGUACGGGCAGACUAGAGUGUGGUAGGGGAGAUUGGAAUUCCUGGUGUAGCGGUGGAAUGCGCAGAUAUCAGGAGGAACACCGAUGGCGAAGGCAGAUCGCUGGGCCGUAACUGACGCUGAGGAGCGAAAGCGUGGGGAGCGAACAGG
rnacentral:rRNA from 1 species